UGCGCAGGCGGGCUUGUAAGUCAGUGGUGAAAUACUGCCGCUCAACGGUAGAACUGCCAUUGAUACUGCAAGUCUUGAAUAUGGUUGAGGUAGGCGGAAUGUGUCGUGUAGCGGUGAAAUGCAUAGAUAUGACACAGAACGCCAAUUGCGAAGGCAGCUUACUAAGCCAUUAUUGACGCUCAGGCACGAAAGCGUGGGGAGCGAACAGGAUUAGAUACCCUGGUAGUCC
rnacentral:rRNA from 1 species